rnacentral:rRNA from 1 species
GAACCGAGCGAACGUUGUUCGGAAUCACUGGGCUUAAAGGGCGCGUAGGCGGGUGUUCAAGUCCGUGGUGAAAUCCUCCGGCUCAACCGGAGAACUGCCUCGGAUACUGGAUGUCUCGAGGGUGGCAGGGGUAUGCGGAACUAUCGGUGGAGCGGUGAAAUGCGUUGAUAUCGAUAGGAACUCCGGUGGCGAAGGCGGCAUACUGGUCCACUUCUGACGCUGAGGCGCGAAAGCCAGGGGAGCAAACGGGAUUAGAUGCCCCGGUAGUCCUGGCCCUAAACGAUGGGUACUAGCUAGUAGGGUUCACAUGGCUUUACUGGCGAAGCAAAAGUGCUAAGUACCCCGCCUGGGGAGUAUGGUCGCAAGGCUG